AUGUUGCCCAGGCUGGUCUUGAACUCCUGGCCUCAAGUGAUAUUCCCACCCUGGCCACCCGGAGUGCUGGGAUUACAAGUAAUCAAGGCCAUGAAGCUACAGAUGGUUUCACGAAUGGAACCCCAAAAGAGCUCAACUAACAACUUCUACCAAGGACCCCUGGACUGACCUGCUGGCCGUUUCACUGGCUUAAAGAGUUCCCCUCUGGAGGUCACUACAACUGCAGGGCCCCUUCUUCGCUCCUAUCCAGCAGGAAGUAGCUAGAGCAGUCAUCGCCCAAUUCCCAACAGCAGUUGGGGUGUCUUGCUUAGAGCGGGGAUUGAGAGGUGAAGCUGGCUGGGCUUCUGGGUCAGGUGGGGACUUGGAGAACUUUUCUGUCUAGCUAAAUGAUUGUACACACACCAAUCAGUGCUCUGUGUCUAGCUAAAGGUUUGUAAACACACCAGUCAGCACUCUGUAAAAACGCACCAAUCAGUGCUCUGUGUCUAGCUAAAAGUUUGUAAAGGGACCAAUCAGCACUCUGUAAAAACGGACCAAUCAGCACUCUAAAAUGGACCAAUCAGCUCUGUAAAAUGCACCAAUCAGCAGGUCGUGGGUGGGGCCAAAUAAGGGAAUAAAAGCUGGCCACCCCAGCCAGCAGAGGCAACCCCCUCUGGUACCCUUCCACUCUCUGGAAUCUUUGUUCUUUCACUCUUCACAAUAAAUCUUGCUGCUGCUCACUCUUUGGGUCCGCACUAUCUUUAUGAGCUGUAACACUCACUGCGGGGGUCUGUGGCUUCAUUCCUGAAGUCACUGAGACCACAAACCCACCAGGAGGAACAAACAACUCCGGAUGCGCCAGCUUUAAGAGCUGUAACACUCACUACGAAGGUCUGUGGCUUCACUCCUGAAGUCAGUGAGACCACAAACUCACUGGAAGGAAGAAACUCCAGACACAUCUGAGCAUCUGAAAGAACAAACUCCGGAUACACCAUCUUUAAGAACUGUAAUACUCACUGACCGCGAGGGUCCGCAGCUUCAUCUUGAAGUCAGCGAGACCAAGAACCCACCAAAAGGAAUAAAUUCCAGACACAAGACCAGAGUUGACAACCCAUCUCCACCAUACAAAAGUGUAUUGAUUUGGAGAAAAUCACUUAACCUCUGCCCCCCAGUUUCCCUAUCCCUGAGAUGGUAAUGUUAACAGUACUUACAUCUUAGGAUUGUUGUGAGGAUUAAAGACUUUUGGGGUAGAACAUUUAGGAGAUACUUGGCAAGAUGUGUACAUUCAACAGAUGAGAUUAUCUCCUGUAUGCUGCUUUACAACAUUUUGAUUUAAUAGUAUAUCUCUGGCAUGUUUCUGCAUCAGUAUAUAUGAAUCUACUUUAUCCCUUUUAACAGUAGGGUUUUCCCCCCUGUUCUUUAAAAAAAGUUUCUUAAAUCUUAAUUUUUCCCAAUAUAGCAUAUAUUAAUAGUAAAAACUCAAAGUGUAUAGAAAGCUUUUCAAAUGACAACAGUCACCACCUCAUUUCUUCCCA
rnacentral:lncRNA from 1 species